UACGGAGGGUGCAAGCGUUAUCCGGAUUUACUGGGUUUAAAGGGUGCGUAGGUGGGUCUGUAAGUCAGUGGUGAAAUCUCCGGGCUUAACUCGGAAACUGCCAUUGAUACUAUAGAUCUUGAAUUAUCUGGAGGUGAGCGGAAUAUGUCAUGUAGCGGUGAAAUGCUUAGAUAUGACAUAGAACACCAAUUGCGAAGGCAGCUCACUACGGAUUGAUUGACACUGAGGCACGAAAGCGUGGGGAUCAAACAGG
rnacentral:rRNA from 1 species